AAUUCAUCAAGGGUUCAUCCUCAGGUGAAACUGGAAAGGGUGAGAGAACCCAAGGAUGGGCGGGAUUUGAGACUCCAUCUUGCAGGCUGGCUCUUGCCGGAUCCCCCAGGACCCUGGAGACAACCAGAUAGAAACAACAGGAAGGAGCUUGGAAAAUGUACUGAUGACUCACAAAGCGAUCUGCUGCUGCUGCUGAGAGACCUUGAUGCCCAGUGACCUCAAGAUAUAGCUUCCUGCCUCCCUGUGAGACGGAUGGACUCCAGCAGCGUGCAGUCAAAUACAGGCCACGAGAUGGCGCAGCACCUCUGUGCCUGGUCCCUUGGCAACACGGUAGGCAAAAAUAAAACACCCCAAAAAACACCACUUGGUCGUAAGAUGCCGAGAUUCCAAAAUCCAUGGAGUAAAUGUGGAAAAAACUGGUAAAUGAAUCUGCCAUCUCUAGUCUGUUUUAAGGCAACGACAAGUGUAAUGGUUUUCUUCUAAAUCCUACUCCAGUAUUAACAUUUAAAAGCCACAAAACCCUCAUAAAGCAUCUAGUUUACACUAAGACUCUUAUUUAGCCAACACCAGGGCUUAUAUAUACCAUAUCUCAAACAUCAUGCAUAGUGAUGGUCAGAUGGUGGUGAUCACACAAAAAACUUGAACAAGAAUUUAUUUCUUAGUAUUGUAAAUGAUUAGAACUGAUAUACAGUGAAACAUUUAUGAUAACAGUUAUGUCAACAUAAAAAUGAUAGCUCUGGUUACAA